rnacentral:rRNA from 1 species
UGGAGAUGCUUGCAUCAAAGAAUCUGUGGCAGCUAGUGGCGGACGGGUGAGUAACGUGUGGAUAACCUGGUCCAUCCAGGGGGACAGCAGCUGGAAACGGCUGAUAAUACCGCAUAAGCGCACACUAUCGCAUGAUAGAGUGUGAAAAGAGAUAUCGGGAUGGAAUGGAUCCGCAUCUGAUUAGCCAGUUGCGGGUAGAAGCCCACCAAAGCGACGAUCAGUAGCCGGCCUGAGAGGGCGGACGGCCACAUUGGGACUGAGACACGGCCCAGACUCCUACGGGAGGCAGCAGUGGGGGAUAUUGCACAAUGGGGGGAACCCUGAUGCAGCGACGCCGCGUGGGUGAAGAAGUAUUUCGGUAUGUAAAGCCCUAUCAGCAGGGAAGAUAAUGACGGUACCUGAGUAAGAAGCCCCGGCUAACUACGUGCCAGCCGCUGC